rnacentral:tRNA from 1 species
GGCCAGGUAGCUCAGUUGGUUGGAGCAUCGGCCUGCAAACCAAAAAGUUUCGGGUUCAAUUCCUGGUCAGGGCA